GGAUUAUUUUAAAAAAUUAUAAUAAAAUCAAAUAAAAUCAAAUUUACAGAUCGCGUGCAAAGCCCGCGAAUGUGGCAGUGGGUAUAUAAGCUGGGGUCUACGCACUCGCUCAGUGCGCGCACAGCCCGGCUUCGUUCUGUUUGUCAUCGCUUGACAGAGUUUUCCUGAGCAUCAGCAUAACCGACCCCAACGGCUCUUUUCAGAGCCAAAUAACAGAGCAUCUUUGGCUUUCAUCUGCAUAAACAGCUUUUAAGAGUCAUCAAAGACUACGGCAUCUUUACUGUUGCCAUAUUCUGCUUCCUCUUGUUUUUUUGCUUAUACUGCUAAAAGAAUGAACUCACCAUUUUUCCAUGUCGUGGAUUUCUUGGGACGGGGAGAGGUGGAAGUUGUAAGCAGUAGGUGGAUGGCUGGAGAAAAUGAUUGCUAUUGGCCUCCAUAUAAAUUUCCCAGUUAUAUAAAAAGAGCACAGCUGCAACAUGAGAAACCAGGAGCUGACUGGGAAACAUACAAAGUCCGCUCACUCUAUAAAACAACAGAUUAUGAGAAAGCCAGACAGAAGGCUAAAAGGGCUGAGACCUCCUCUUGUCUCAACUCUGAAAGUGACAGUAUGCUGGGAAAGUUUAAUCGGAAAAGGAAACCCAACUCACGGUAUCCUGAUCAGGGUCACUCUUCUUCUUCUGAAGAAGACAUAAUAAAAAGACAUAAGCAUACGAUACCAAUUCCACCAUCACCACCAUCCCCAUGUCCACAAUCAUCACAACCAGCCCCACCAGCUCAACUAGCUCCACCAGCCCAACCAGCUCAACUAGCUCCACCUGCCCCACAUGCUCAACUAACUCCACCAGCCUCUGUAUCAGAGUCAAAAAGGCAGCCAAUUACAC
ensembl:lncRNA